rnacentral:misc_RNA from 1 species
AAGUCGUAACAAGGUAACCGUAGGUGAACCUGCGGUUGGAUCAUUAGAAAGUAUUGCGGGACAUGUCACUGCACGCCCAGUGCAGUGUUUGAACCGAACCGAUGGGAUGACGCUGGAUCCUUCUUGGAACUCAACUUCUAGUCGGAGCAACCUCCCAGCUCUCCUUAUCAAGGACAUUUUGUGAACCGUUCCCGUCUCUGGCGAGGGGGUAGUGAAAGCUACUUGUCAGCAUUGCAUGUUUGCGGUGCCGUGGACAUCUCGCCAACCCCUUCUAAACAUAUAGUCUGUAUUUGAUGUCUGACAUUUCUUGUAUAAAUAUACAAAACAACUUUUGGCAACGGAUCUCUUGGCUCUC